GACGAGCGCUGGCGGCGUGCUUAACACAUGCAAGUCGAACGAUGAAGUUCCUUCGGGAAUGGAUUAGUGGCGAACGGGUGAGGAACACGUGAGAAACCUGCCUUUCAUUUUGGGAUAACUCCGGGAAACCGGGGCUAAAACCGAAUACUCCGUCUCGGCGGCAUCGCUGAGCCGGGAAAAAAUUUUGAUGAAAGAUGGUCUCGCGGCCUAUCAGCUAGUUGGUGAGGUAAUGGCUCACCAAGGCAACGACGGGUAGCCGGCCUGGGCGGGCGACCGGCCACACUGGGACUGAGACACGGCCCAGACUCCUACGGGAGGCAGCAGUGGGGAAUAUUGGGCAAUGGGCGCAAGCCUGACCCAGCGACGCCGCGUGAGGGAUGAAGGCCUUCGGGUUGUAAACCUCUUUCAGUAGGGAAGAAGCGAAAGUGACGGUACCUAAAGAAGAAGCACCGGCUAACUAUGUGCCAGCAGCCGCCGUAA
rnacentral:rRNA from 1 species